rnacentral:misc_RNA from 1 species
GCCAACAUCUUUGAUGUUCUCUUCCUAUGUUGCCAUUUUUUGGCAUGCAAAACCACCUGCAAGCUUAAUUUCAUGUCAGAAGGAACUAUCGCUAGCCAAAAGCUUUGAUGUUCUCUUCCUAUGUUACCAUUUUCUCACCAUGCAAGUAAAGCUCUUCAUCAUCUAGUUUCUACAAUCUCAUUCUCAUGCAAAUCCUAUCUGUUUCAACACUUUUCUCUAUCCACCUCCACUCACCGCAAUCUCCUCGCACUCAUCUCUACAGCCAAAUCUCUUCGCCAUACCAACCAAUCCCAUGCCUCUGCUCUUCUCAAUGGCUUUCUUCCCCGAAGUGUUUCUCUCUGCGCCUCUCUUAUUCUCCGCUACGCUACUUUUCUUGACCCUCCAACCUGUUACCGUCUUUUUCAAGGAACUGUUCCUUAUGUUCGCUCUGCUUUCCUGUGGAACACUCUCAUUCGGGCUCUGUCGAUCGCUCGAGUUGAUGAUAACUUUGAAACCUAUAAUCGAAUGGUUCGAAAUGGUGUCAGGCCUGAUGAUCACACUUUCCCUUUCGUCCUCAAGGCAUGUGCCGAUAGUUUGAAUAUUCAGAAGGGUAUGGAGAUUCAUGGGUUUGUGUUCAAACUUGGUUUUGAUUUGGAUGUCUUUGUGGGUAACACCCUUUUGUUGUUCUAUGGUAAUUGUGGGAAUUUAACGGAUGUGAAUAGGGUGUUUGAUGAAAUGCUUGAAAGAGAUGUUGUGUCAUGGAAUACAGUCCUUGGAGUGUUUUCCGUCAAUGGGUUUUAUGUGGAAGCGCGUGAUUUGUUUUGUGAAAUGAAUCUGACCUCUCGCUUUAGGCCCAACAUGGUUAGUGUUGUAAGUGUGUUACCGGUUUUUGCUGGGCUUGAAGAUGAGGUGAUGGCUAGGCAAACUCAUAGUUUUAUUGUGAAGGUUGGGCUGGAUUCUCAGGUGACCAUAAACAAUGCUUUGAUUGACGUAUAUGGGAAAUGUGGGCAUGUGAAGACUUCGAGAAAAGUUUUUGAUCAAAUGAUGGAGAGGAAUGAGGUUUCUUGGAAUGCAAUCAUUACUAGUCUUGCUUAUCUGAGGCAUAAUGAAGAUGCACUAGAGAUGUUUAGAUUUAUGAUAAAUGAAGAGGUAAAACCAAAUUCUGUUACUAUAUCUAGUAUGCUACCUAUAUUGGUUGAAUUAGGACUUUUUGAACUAGGUAAGGAAAUUCAUGGUUUUAGUUUAAGAUUUGGUAUUGAAACUGAUGUUUUCAUUGCCAACUCUUUGAUUGAUAUGUAUGCAAAA